rnacentral:rRNA from 1 species
CAUUAUACGGCUCAGUAACACGUAGUCAACCUGCCCUGGAGACGCGGACAAACCCGGGAAACUGGGGCCUAUCCGCGAUAGAUGACCUCAUCUGGAAGGAGAAGUCGUCGAAAAGGGUGCAUGGGUAUGCUCUGUGCAUACGCUCCAGGAUGGGACUGCGGCCGAUCAGGCUGUUGGCGGGGUAAUGGCCCACCAAACCUGUAACCGGCACGGGCUUUGAGAGAAGGAGCCCGGAGAUGGACACUGAGACAAGGGUCCAGGCCCUACGGGGCGCAUCAGGCGCGAAAACUUCGCAAUGCGCGAAAGCGUGACGAGGCUAGUCCGAGUGCUUCCUGCUAAAGGGAGCUUUUCUCGGCUGUAAAUAGGCCGGGGAAUAAGGGGAGGGCAAGUCUGGUGUCAGCCGCCGCGGUAAUACCAGCUCCUCGAGUGGUCGGGACGAUUAUUGGGCCUAAAGCACCCGUAGCCGGUUCCGUAAGUCCUCUGUUAAAUCCAGUCGCUCAACGGCUGGUCUGCAGAGGAUACUGCGAGACUAGGAGGCGGGAGAGGCGGACGGUACUCCGCGUGUAGGGGUAAAAUCCUUUGAUCCGCGGAAGACCACCAGUGGCGAAAGCGGUCUGCCAAACGCGCCCGACGUGAAGGGUAAAGCGGGGGGACCACCGGAUUUAUACCGGGUAUCCACCGGAAAAAGGACUAAUAUCAUCCGUCGAACA